rnacentral:rRNA from 1 species
GACGAACGCUGGCGGCGUGCUUAACACAUGCAAGUCGAACGGAAAGGCCCUGCUUUUGUGGGGUGCUCAAGUGGCGAACGGGUGAGUAACACGUGAGUAACCUGCCCUUGACUUUGGGAUAACUUCAGGAGACUGGGGCUAAUACCGGAUAGGAGCUCCUGCUGCAUGGUGGGGGUUGGAAAGUUUCGGCGGUUGGGGAUGGACUCGCGGCUUAUCAGCUUGUUGGUGGGGUAGUGGCUUACCAAGGCUUUGACGGGUAGCCGGCCUGAGAGGGUGACCGGCCACAUUGGGACUGGGAUACGGCCCAGACUCCUACGGGAGGCAGCAGUGGGAAUAUUGCACAAUGGGCGGAAGCCUGAUGCAGCAACGCCGCGUGCGGGAUGACGGCCUUCGGGUUGUAAACCGCUUUCGCCUGUGACGAAGCGUGAGUGACGGUAAUGGGUAAAGAAGCACCGGCUAACUACGUG